GAUUAAACAGGAUCGUUGUGAUUGUGAUCAAUCGUACGGACCACAUCGGAGUCUGCAGAUAGGUUCUAAACAGCAAUUCCACUCACAACUACGAGGAGUGACGAAGACCAGCAGUUGUGACGAAGUAUCUUGAGUCGAACAUUAGGGUGGCUCACCACCACAUAAUUCGCUGCAGAGACGAGUGAAACAUAUCAUUGUUCCUUCGCUAUUUCUAGG